rnacentral:lncRNA from 1 species
CGCCCCAAGCCACCACCAUCAUCACCACCACCCCCACCCGCCGGCUCAUGCACCGGCUCACACUCCCGCUCAUGCACCUGCUCACCCACCUUCACACGUUGCUCCUGCCCACCCACCUCCACCACACGUUGCUCCUGCUCACCCACCUCCACCACACGUUGCUCCUGCUCACCCACCUCCACCGCACGUUGCUCCUGCUCACCCACCCACACCCACCCAUCGUUUCCCUAGGAGCCUUGUUGAAGUUCAAGGCGUCGUUUAUUGCAAGUCUUGCAAGUACGCCGGAGCUGAUACCCUCCUAGGAGCUACCGCUGUUCUCGGUCAGUUUCGAACUCUUUCAAUUUAACUUUCCCUGCUUCUAACUUUUACAUACUUGAUUUUUUCUAUCAUUAUUACUUCAAUUAAUUUCACAUAUAUGUUAGUUAUACAUCAUGCAUACAUAACAUACGUAUGGAUGCGAAUGUGCAUUUGUUUUCAUGGAUGCAGUAUGUAUACAUUCCCAGAUUUUGAAUGGAGAGAGAGAGAGAGAGAAAGAGAGAGAGGUGCUCUUGAUCUCUUUCUUUCUCUUUGUUCUAGGUUUAUGUCACAUUCAGUAGGAGGCAUGGUUAUGGCAGCAUAGCUAGCUACUUUUUCCUUUUUCAAGCUCUCUCUUUGAAGUCCCUAGUAUUUAAAUAUUUUUUUUUAUUCUUUUAAUAUUGUCCAUGGGUUUAAUCAAUCUCAAAAACAAAUCUUGCUUUACUCAUUCUCAAACCACAAGAGUAUUUUGAGUAAAAAAAGAAAAAGAAAAAAUGACCACCAAAUGAAUACUGACAAAGACAUUGUUUUGAUAUGUUUUUGGGGGGAGGGGGCAGG